AUUGAACGCUGGCGGCAUGCCUUACACAUGCAAGUCGAACGGCAGCAUGAUCUCGCUUGCUAGAUUGAUUGCGAGUGGCGAACGGGUGAGUAAUACAUCGGAACGUGCCCUGUAGUGGGGGAUAACUAGUAGAAAGAUUAGCUAAUACCGCAUACGACCUGAGGGUGAAAGUGGGGGACCGCAAGGCCUCAUGCUAUAGGAGCGGCCGAUGUCUGAUUAGCUAGUUGGUGAGGUAAAGGCUCACCUAGGCGACGAUCAGUAGCUGGUCUGAGAGGACGAUCAGCCACACUGGAACUGAGACACGGCCCAGACUCCUACGGGAGGCAGCAGUGGGGAAUUUUGGACAAUGGGCGAAAGCCUGAUGCAGCAAUGCCGCGUGUGUGAAGAAGGCCUUCGGGUUGUAAAGCACUUUUGUCCGGAAAGAAAUGGCUCUGGUUAAUACCUGGGGUCGAUGACGGUACCGGAAGAAUAAGGACCGGCUAACUACGUG
rnacentral:rRNA from 1 species